GACACGAAAAUAACCAACUCUCAAAAAUGGAAUAAAGUCCCUUUAAUGCCUCCAACUUGGCCCCCAAUGUCCAGUUAUCCUAGGCUGGAUAUCAAACUCUUAGAGCAAACAGUCUACGGAGGGAGUAAAUGUAGUCCGAACCCGAAGUAAAGUGAAUUAGAAAU